GACGAACGCUGGCGGCGUGCUUAACACAUGCAAGUCGAACGGAAAGGCCCUGCUUUUGUGGGGUGCUCGAGUGGCGAACGGGUGAGUAACACGUGAGUAACCUGCCCUUGACUUUGGGAUAACUUCAGGAAACUGGGGCUAAUACCGGAUAGGAGCUCCUGCUGCAUGGUGGGGGUUGGAAAGUUUCGGCGGUUGGGGAUGGACUCGCGGCUUAUCAGCUUGUUGGUGGGGUAGUGGCUUACCAAGGCUUUGACGGGUAGCCGGCCUGAGAGGGUGACCGGGCACAUAGGGGGAGAGAGACGGCCCCCAGUCCCCUGGGGGGGACAGGGGGGGAGAAUUGCGCAAAGGGGGGGGGCGCGAGAUGGAACAGCCCCGUGUGGGGGAGCGGGCUUUGGGUGUUGAAAACCUUUCGCGUGUGAGGAAACGUGUGUGAGGGGAUUGGGGAUAAAAACACACCGUAACAAUGC
rnacentral:rRNA from 1 species